rnacentral:rRNA from 1 species
UUGCACCUGAUUGAUUUUGGUCGCCAACGAGUGGCGGACGGGUGAGUAACACGUAGGUAACCUGCCCAGAAGCGGGGGACAACAUUUGGAAACAGAUGCUAAUACCGCAUAACAACGUUGUUCGCAUGAACAACGCUUAAAAGAUGGCUUCUUGCUAUCACUUCUGGAUGGACCUGCGGUGCAUUAGCUUGUUGGUGGGGUAACGGCCUACCAAGGCGAUGAUGCAUAGCCGAGUUGAGAGACUGAUCGGCCACAAUGGGACUGAGACACGGCCCAUACUCCUACGGGAGGCAGCAGUAGGGAAUCUUCCACAAUGGGCGCAAGCCUGAUGGAGCAACACCGCGUGAGUGAAGAAGGGUUUCGACUCGUAAAGCUCUGUUGUUAAAGAAGAACACGUAUGAGAGUAACUGUUCAUACGUUGACGGUAUUUAACCAGAAAGUCACGGCUAACUACGUGCCAGCAGCCGCGGUAAUACGUAGGUGGCAAGCGUUAUCCGGAUUUAUUGGGCGUAAAGAGAGUGCAGGCGGUUUUCUAAGUCUGAUGUGAAAGCCUUCGGCUUAACCGGAGAAGUGCAUCGGAAACUGGAUAACUUGAGUGCAGAAGAGGGUAGUGGAACUCCAUGUGUAGCGGUGGAAUGCGUAGAUAUAUGGAAGAACACCAGUGGCGAAGGC